rnacentral:rRNA from 1 species
UACGGGGGGGGCAAGCGUUGUUCGGAAUUACUGGGCGUAAAGGGCGCGUAGGCGGCCUGCUAAGUCGGAUGUGAAAUCCCUCGGCUCAACCGAGGAACUGCAUCCGAUACUGGCGGGCUUGAAUCCGGGAGAGGGAUGUGGAAUUCCAGGUGUAGCGGUGAAAUGCGUAGAUAUCUGGAGGAACACCGGUGGCGAAGGCGGCAUCCUGGACCGGUAUUGACGCUGAGGCGCGAAAGCUAGGUGAGCAAACGGG